GAUGAACGCUGGCGGCGUGCCUAAUACAUGCAAGUCGAGCGAACGGACGAGAAGCUUGCUUCUCUGAUGUUAGCGGCGGACGGGUGAGUAACACGUGGAUAACCUACCUAUAAGACUGGGAUAACUUCGGGAAACCGGAGCUAAUACCGGAUAAUAUUUUGAACCGCAUGGUUCAAAAGUGAAAGGCGGUCUUGCUGUCACUUAUAGAUGGAUCCGCGCUGCAUUAGCUAGUUGGUAAGGUAACGGCUUACCAAGGCAACGAUGCAUAGCCGACCUGAGAGGGUGAUCGGCCACACUGGAACUGAGACACGGACCAUACUCCUACGGGAGGCAGCAGUAGGGAAUCUUACGCAAUGGGCGAAAGCCUGACGGAGCAACGCCGCGUGAGUGAUGACGGUCUUGGGAUCGUAAAACUCUGUUAUUAGGGAAGAACAUCUGUGUACGUAAAUGUGCACAUAUUGACGGUAACUAAUCAGAAAGCAACGGCUAACUACGUG
rnacentral:rRNA from 1 species